rnacentral:rRNA from 1 species
GUAGGGAAUAUUGGGCAAUGGGUGCAAGCCUGACCCAGCCAUCCCGCGUGCCGGAUGAAGGCCCUCUGGGUCGUAAACGGCUUUUGACGGUGAAGAACCGACAGGAUGCGUCCUGUUUUGACGGUAGCCGUUGAAUAAGCACCGGCUAACUCCGUGCCAGCAGCCGCGGUAAUACGGAGGGUGCGAGCGUUGUCCGGAUUUAUUGGGUUUAAAGGGUGCGUAGGCUGGAAGGUUAGUCAGCGGUGAAAAGCUAUCGCUUAACGAUAGUCUUGCCGCAGAUACUUCCUUUCUUGGAUGAGGAGGAGGCCACUGGAACGGAUGGUGUAGCGGUGAAAUGCAUAGAUAUCAUCCAGAACACCGAUUGCGAAGGCAGGUGGCUGUACCUUAAUCGACGCUGAUGCACGAAAGCAUGGGGAGCAAACAGGAUUAGAAACCCCUGUAGUCC